GAGGAGGUUGGUCCUCUGACGUUAGCGGCGGACGGGUGAGUAACACGUGGAUAACCUACCUAUAAGACUGGGAUAACUUCGGGAAACCGGAGCUAAUACCGGAUAAUAUAUUGAACCGCAUGGUUCAAUAGUGAAAGACGGUUUUGCUGUCACUUAUAGAUGGAUCCGCGCCGCAUUAGCUAGUUGGUAAGGUAACGGCUUACCAAGGCGACGAUGCGUAGCCGACCUGAGAGGGUGAUCGGCCACACUGGAACUGAGACACGGUCCAGACUCCUACGGGAGGCAGCAGUAGGGAAUCUUCCGCAAUGGGCGAAAGCCUGACGGAGCAACGCCGCGUGAGUGAUGAAGGUCUUCGGAUCGUAAAACUCUGUUAUUAGGGAAGAACAAAUGUGUAAGUAACUAUGCACGUCUUGACGGUACCUAAUCAGAAAGCCACGGCUAACUACGUGCCAGCAGCCGCGGUAAUACGUAGGUGGCAAGCGUUAUCCGGAAUUAUUGGGCGUAAAGCGCGCGUAGGCGGUUUUUUAAGUCUGAUGUGAAAGCCCACGGCUCAACCGUGGAGGGUCAUUGGAAACUGGAAAACUUGAGUGCAGAAGAGGAAAGUGGAAUUCCAUGUGUAGCGGUGAAAUGCGCAGAGAUAUGGAGGAACACCAGUGGCGAAGGCGACUUUCUGGUCUGUAACUGACGCUGAUGCGCGAAAGCGUGGGGAUCAAACAGGAUUAGAUACCCUGGUAGUCCACGCCGUAAACGAUGAGUGCUAAGUGUUAGGGGGUUUCCGCCCCUUAGUGCUGCAGCUAACGCAUUAAGCACUCCGCCUGGGGAGUACGACCGCAAGGUUGAAACUCAAAGGAAUUGACGGGGACCCGCACAAGCGGUGGAGCAUGUGGUUUAAUUCGAAGCAACGCGAAGAACCUUACCAAAUCUUGACAUCCUCUGACCCCUCUAGAGAUAGAGUUUUCCCCUUCGGGGGACAGAGUGACAGGUGGUGCAUGGUUGUCGUCAGCUCGUGUCGUGAGAUGUUGGGUUAAGUCCCGCAACGAGCGCAACCCUUAAGCUUAGUUGCCAUCAUUAAGUUGGGCACUCUAAGUUGACUGCCGGUGACAAACCGGAGGAAGGUGGGGAUGACGUCAAAUCAUCAUGCCCCUUAUGAUUUGGGCUACACACGUGCUACAAUGGACAAUAUAAAGGGCAGCGAAACCGCGAGGUCAAGCAAAUCCCAUAAAGUUGUUCUCAGUUCGGAUUGUAGUCUGCAACUCGACUAUAUGAAGCUGGAAUCGCUAGUAAUCGUAGAUCAGCAUGCUACGGGUGAAUACGUUCCCGGGUCU
rnacentral:rRNA from 1 species